AAACCAUAAUGAGGGCACUACCUUUGAAGACUCUUAAAUCUAUCCCAUGCUUUAAAUAAUAAUUCUCCAUAUGCCUAAACAAAAUUUGUUAUGCAAUUCCUCAUAU